UGCCAGCCGCCGCGGUAAUACGGAGGGGGUUAGCGUUGUUCGGAAUUACUGGGCGUAAAGCGCACGUAGGCGGAUUAGUAAGUUAGGGGUGAAAUCCCGGGGCUCAACCUCGGAACUGCCCUUGAUACUGUAGGUCUUGAGCCCGGAAGAGGUGGGUGGAAUUCCUAGCGUAGAGGUGAAAUUCGUAGAUAUUCGGAAGAACACCAGUGGCGAAGGCGGCUCACUGGCUCGAUACUGACGCUGAGGUGCGAAAGUGUGGGGAGCGAACAGGAUUAGAUA
rnacentral:rRNA from 1 species